CAGGGUCAGAAUUAUGGCAUGUUUUAUUGCAUGUUGUGUUAUUUUACCUGAGUGCUGUGUUUUUAUUAUGCAUGUAGUGUGUGUGUUUUACUUCGUUUGCUGUGGUUUUAUCAUAUUUUAAUUAUUGGGUUGUUUUGAGUGUAUUUAUUUAUUAAGUAUGCAUGCUGCUUUUACUUUGAAUGACCCCUGCGAAGCCCCACCCCCAAUCACUAACUAAUCAGCAAACAAGCGACAGGUGUGGGACGCUGAAAACAAAGGCACAGACGCUGCCUUUAUUGACGGAGCGAGCGACGACGGAGCAACGAGCGAGGAACAGCGGAGGGUCGACAGAGCGGUUCGGCCGAGAGAGGGAACACGCAGCGGUUCGGCGAAGACAGUCCACCACCUGACAGAGCGGUCCCCCAACGUGAGGACGACGGAAUAGUGCCGGGAAAGGCGUGCGGUUGCCCAAAGUCCGCCACCGCUAAUUUACUCAGGCCUGGGCCGGCAGUCCACUAGCUGUCGCCCGGGACAACCGGACGAACGAGUGAGGGGGACCCGGCAGCUGGUGCGGGGAGGCUACGAGCUACGUGGAGGAGCCGCAGGGAUACGCGUGGACUGAACUGGCCGGACUGAGCUUUUUACCGCUGGGAAGCAGCAUUUUUAUCCUUUUAUUUGCAUUUAUUUUUAUUAUUUUAUUGUUUUUAGUAUUUAUUCUCCUGUGUAAAUUAUUUUUGGUGGUACCACCCUUGACUUUCUUGUAUUGUAAUAAAUCUAGUUUUAAUUGGA